ensembl:misc_RNA Metazoa_SRP Metazoan signal recognition particle RNA
UCUGGGAGCAGUGGCGGGCACCUGUAGUCCCAGCUACUCAAAAGGCUGAGGCAGGAGGAUUGCUUGGGUCCAGCCGUUCUGGGCUGUAUAGUGCACUAUGCUCAUCAAGUAUCUGCACUAAGUUUGGCAUCAAUAUGAUGACUUUUCAGCAGGGGACCAUCAGGUUGCCUAGAGAGUGUGGAAUGGCCCAGGCUGGAAACAGAGCAGGUCAAAACUCCUCUGCUGAUCAGUAGUGGAUGCCCCUAUGAAUAACCACUGCACUGCAGCCUGGGCCACAUAGCAAGACCCCAUCUCUU